GGGGCGGAUGCUGUGAUAGACGGUGCUUCUGCUUGUAGACGAUAUUGAAUUGUAACAAAAUAAUUUGUUUUUAUGCCGCCCUGGUUAGCAUAAUACCAGUCUCUGGCCUGUUUUGGGUUUCUCAAUAUGGCCGUGUGUUUCCCUCAGCACAAGAUGUAUUUCAUGUGUGACCUUCCAGCCCUACCAACGGGAGAAGGCUGGAAGUGGGCAGUGCCAAGGUCACGCUCUUUACGGUCACAGCUCUUGUGGUACUGUCUUCUGGGGCAUAGCCGUGGCUCCAGAAAGGGACCAGAGGUCUUACAGAGAUUAGCUGAGAGAGAAAAGUGAGAACUUAAGUGCCCCUGCCCAUGGGCCUAGGAAAACACUAAAGAUUUCUUAACACCACUGCAACAGCUGUACUCUUAAUAGUUUUGGGGUGUUAUUCUUGGGAAAGUUUGAACUUUUCUAUCAUGGAGAUGUAGUAGUUUUGCUAAGUAUGUUUCGUAUAUGUUGAGUGAAAACCAAAGUUUGAUGUUGCUUAACUUGUGCGUAUUGUUGAAAUAUACUGGCAAGCUUGUUUGUACAGCCACAUACAGCUAUGCUUUAUUCACACAGGCUGAGGUGAAGCUUUAAAGCAGAUGUGUUCCAGUACGCUGUCGGUUUUCAAUAGUGUUUCAUUUAGUCACCUGUGUUCAGUGCUAAUUCCCUGCUAAAAUUGUCAAGUCUGUAGAAUAAAAUGAUUACUUUUAUGUUUUCAAUUGGUAGCGAUUAGUUGUUGUUGAAGUGCUUCACUUCUUAAUUACUGCUCUUCUUAUUUGGUAAAAUAAUUUGAAAGCUAGUUUAAACUCUGCUCCUGCAUCUGCACAGAGACACUUUAAUGUGAUUGCAGAGCCGGUUUCAGUCUAGGCCCUCAGGCAGUAAUUUCUGACAGUGAUGUCAUUCAUGUGAUGAAAAAGGGAUGACUAGUGAAUUACAAGCAUGAAGGAAGCAGUAAUUACACUGUUUGAAUUUGUUUUUUAAUAUCUGUCUGAAUGCUUCAGCUUGUUUGAAGGGCAGACUUCCCUGAGGUUGGUGAAGUGGCUCCUGUUCCCAGGUGUCUGACUUUUAUGUUUGCCAUCCCUGGGGCAGGCAUGGCUGAAAUGAUGCAAGCCUGUUCUGUGCCACCGCAGUCGAUACUGGUGUGUUACCACAUAGCUGCCUGGUCCUUCUGCAGCGAGAAGCUUCUGUACUGCCUUUUGAUCCUAGUCCAGGCUUUCUUGUGCUGUUAAUUUUGGCACUUGCAACUUCUGGAUGUUGAGUGUGAAAGCUUUCAGGUUCUUUUACCCUUUUUUGCUUAACCUGUCGUUGAGCAGAGUAAACCCAUGCUUGGGUUUUCCAAGACCUUCAGAUCGGUUUGCAUGUAUUUUCUUGCUUAGUCACUCAGCUUUACAAUUGGUCUUCUUUUCCUCGUCAGCUGCCAAGUGAACUUUCAUUGUAGCAAGGUGGGCAAGGUCAAAGAAGAAAACUAACAAAAUAAAAUGAUGUGCAGAGCACUAAGCAGAGCCAGACACAAAAUUUGCUGUGUGCCAGGAAUGACCUCCCUGCUUUGAUAACCGCCAGUGACUGUUAGGAAUUAGGUUAGUUUGAUUAUUCUUAUUUUCUUUUCCUUCAGGAAAAGUGCCAGAUCUGACCAUGAAAGUCCUUUUUCUGAUGAAGAAGUGCUUGGUUCUGCUUCAUUCACGACUUUUUUUUUUUCCUUCCCUCUUUCAUGAGGCUUUAUGUUCCCUGACUGAAUCAAUUCCAUAUGCAUGCUAUUUAAAGGAGCUUUACCAGAUAAAACCUUACUGCAGCUGAAAAAAAACCCCAAUCAGUCACCCAAAGCAGGAACGAACAUCACUGACAUUUCACCUUUAAGGCUUUUCUUCAACCUUAUUUAAUUGCAUCAGGUAUUCAGUAAGUAAAUAUAUCAACUUUGUGUGUGUCUUUCUGCCAGCCAGACUCUAAAAUAUGUAAGUCCUUGUCUGGAAUGCCCAGAUUUAUGGUGGUACUUACACCCAUGAGUAAGGUCUUGGCUGAGUUACCGGUAUGAGGUACAGCAUGCAAGUUGAAUCCAAGAGCAUACCUCUUAGCACACAACUAUUUUAAAAUGGGUUUAAAUAGUAUGGCUGUAUUACCAGAAGACAAAACCCUUAAUUUAAAAGCUUUAAAGUUAACAGCAGCUUUCCAGAGGAGUUGGAGAUCAGCAAUGCUAGCAAACCUUGUUAGCUGAAACUGAAAGGUCUUGAAGAUAGAGGCCUCUUGCAAUAGGUGUCAUCUGACAUAAGACAGGUUCUUGCUGUCAGAUGCCUUGUCCUGAUCAACACUGGAGUGUAGACCUGAGAACAAUUUUAAAGGAUUAGUAGAUUGUAUUUUUGUUACUGUCACAACCUGCUUUUAUUGCAAGGAAAUUGCUUUGAGAAAAGGACAGUCCUUUAAAAAUGAUACUGGGUCCAAUUAGUACGUUUUUGUGAAUAUUGUCUCCUGGCCCUGUCCAGGAAACAUAUCCUGGAUCCUCCUGCCAUGCAUGUAAGAGCACACAUGGAAGAGAGAGAUCCAUGACGUCUCCUUUAGAAAGCUUACCACAGUAUUGCAUCAGAUGCUGGAACUGAAACUCAGCUGCAUUUCACGUUUGCUGCUCCAGCUUGGUGCCUGGGGAAGGCUUUUGUCAUCGUCAGCAUCUGCUAUUCAGAGCUCCAGGAAUAGAGACGUGAUCAGUGGCCUUGGGCCCUGACCUUACACCCUGUUAAGACAACUGUAGCAUUAGGCCCUUAUCUUGUAACAGGAAAAAUGAUAAAGGAUCAAAAUUUCAGAGCUUCCUGCUGUUCUGAUUCCCUCCUAAACAUUAGAAGCAAUGCAAAAAACCCAAACCAAACUAAAAAGCCAUAAUGCCCCUUCCCCUUCUGCCCCCAAGACCGCUGAUUGAUCCCUCUUUGCAAAUCUGAAAGGAUGUAAAUAGGUUGGCAGUUUCGUAAAUAAGAUACUGGCCGUUGAGGAUAAUGUGCUUGAGAUGCCCUCCACAGUAGUGUUGAAUCCUGGUGAGACUUAAGAGAACCUGAGUUUAAGAAAAUGAAAUACUACAUUUUAGUUAUAGUAUCGAUAGGGUUGGAGAUGGGGCAGUCUACACAACACUCACAAAACUGGGAUCUAUUGUUAGCAGGGUUGGGCUGCUGUGUGCAUUGGUCAGGAUGCAGCAACAUUCAUUAACUGGGAGAGCAGAAAAGCAGAGUUAAAACUAUCUAUCUUGAUUGUUUUCCUAGAUUACAGCUAGAAAGCGCUGUCACUGUAAUUGGUUCCAGAAUUCGAGUUAAUGUUGCUGUAACUACUAUGAAGUACCUUUUCUUGAAAGUUGAUUUAUUUCAAAGGAGGAUAAUAAUUUAUGUCAAUAUUUUUAUCUUCAUAAAUGCUAGUUACUGAGGGGAGGAUCCCAGGAUUUUGUCCAAGCUGCAUUUCUUGUCUCGGUGUGACCUACCACGGUUUUUCCUUGUUUUCUUUGUGGGCAGUGCUGGAAAAGUUCCCAGCAUUGAACUUGCUUGUGAGACAAAGAGCCAUGCCCAGCGAGUGGUUAGGAAGCACUUUGUUAAGUUCAGCUUCCUUGUCUAGAAGUACAUGUAAAUGAAGGGGCAAAAAACCCUGCAAACUUGCCAAUCACUGCUAACUUCACAGUGAUGUAAUAAUCCUGGGUACCUGGUUUGUCACUGGGAUUGUUUGAUGAGACUCACUAGCAGAAAAUCCAAAAAAUUCCAAGUGGAAAUCUUAGCUUUUUAAUAAAUUAGUCUUCUGUCUAUGGCAUAAUAUCAGGAGUGACAUUUACCAGCCACUUUCACUCUAAUGAGAUUCUUCUUGUCUGAAUUUGAGCUGUUGCCAUGCAAGGAAAUGCUAACCUGAAAAUAAAGUCCUUUAAAG
ensembl:lncRNA